CAGUCGCCACGGUAAUACGUAGGUGGCAAGCGUUGUCCGGAAUUAUUGGGCGUAAAGCGCGCGCAGGUGGUUUAAUAAGUCUGAUGUGAAAGCCCACGGCUCAACCGUGGAGGGUCAUUGGAAACUGUUAAACUUGAGUGCAGGAGAGAAAAGUGGAAUUCCUAGUGUAGCGGUGAAAUGCGUAGAGAUUAGGAGGAACACCAGUGGCGAAGGCGGCUUUUUGGCCUGUAACUGACACUGAGGCGCGAAAGCGUGGGGAGCAAACAGGAUUAGAUACCCCAGUAGUCCCUGUCUCUUAUAA
rnacentral:rRNA from 1 species